rnacentral:lncRNA from 1 species
AAAAUACACAGAAGAGAAGAGGAGAGAGAACAUGAUAGUUGUACUACAAGAUUUCAGUUUCGUAAAUACCACAGAGCUUCCAUUCCUCCUACACCAAGUCCACACAGAUCGACACCACAAGCCCUCAUCCUCCGCUGCCCAUCUGCCAAAGCAAACAAGAACACACAAGACAGUUCAGGCAGGCAUGGAUGCAGAGUUCACCUGAGUUGGGAGGGACUGACUAGCCAACCAUGCAAAUGCAAGCAGGGCGGAGAAUUAGUAGCCGAUGUCGGCGCCGUCGUCGACCAAGGUCGCCGUUGAUGCCGGGGAUAGGUAUCGAUCACACGGUGUUAUGGGCCCUGGUCAAGAUCGCAGGAGGAGACGCUUCAAUCUGGCGAGAUCCCGGCUCUCGUUGCUGCUCUCUCGGAGGUGGAUCUCAUCUGGGAUAAUAUAUAUGGCAGAAUUUCCAAGGAAAUGCACGGUUGCCUUGUCGGCUGAGUGUAACUUCCAGGUCGCAACCUUUGUACGAGCAGCCGAAUGAGCAGGAACGAGUACACAUCACAUUUUAUUGACUCAUGCGUGGGUGGUGUAAACAACGGAAAUGAUUUGCGUACGACGAUGCAUGUCCGAAGCACGUACGACGAUGCAUCCGCAUCGUGAGCUAGCUAACCCGUUGAAAGACAUACGGCUUGAUUUGAUGGUCGUACGUGGUUCGGAUGAGAAUCGUCGUACGUGUAGCACUGCUCAGUCUUGGGUGGUGUAAACAAAGUCUUCUUAGGGUAUGUACAAUGGUUGAUAAGAUAGUUUUAUUUCAAGUUUUACAUGUAAUUUAUAGAUGAUAAAAAAAGUCUUACAAUGAAUCACCUCUUAAUUGUUCUCUCUUAAAUAAGAAAAGACAAAUUUUUUUUAUGAGUUAUCUUUCCUCCACCUCAUCAUUUAUCUUACAUGACACUACUAAGAUAGCAUCAUUGUACAUGUCCUUAUGUGACAGGAAAAAAAAACCAACAGCCCUACCAGGAAAUAAAACAAACGUGUGAAGCACGUGUUGUGCAUGAGAGUGAUUUUGUUUUCUUAACUCAUGCCUUUUGGUUUAUUGCACUAUCUUUCUUUUAACACGCAAGCGUUUAUAUACACGUACAUAGACUGAGCCGGCAUAUCAUGAAAUUUAUGAAUAAAUUCAGAAAUAAAUGCGAACAUCAGGAUUUAAACCCUGAUGAGCUAUGAAUAUCACAAUCUCUCUAACCAUCCAACCACAGACUGGUUCGCAUUGUACUCUUCGUCGUACUAUCUUUUCAAUGUGUUACUUGUUGUCCUUAAUAAUUAUCAUAUCUAAGAUGCCCUUUGGGUGUGUUUCGUACUAUGAAAAAGGGUCCUGCAUGGAUAGAGAGAGCGUGUGCUGACGAGACAGCAUAAAAUGUUUCACCAGUUAGUUAAUAGAGUGUCACAUAAAUAAAAUACAUAGUCCGGGUAGGAAAAAUACUCCACGAUGCUUGAGUGCCCUUGACCAAAGCCUAGCGCCCUCGAUCGCCCCAUCCUUUCCUCCCUGGCUACUACCUCAGAUCACCGCCAAUCCGCAUGACUUCCAAGGACGACAGCGGCGAAGCUCCCUCCUUGAGCAACACCUUGGUACUUGUACGCCUCUUCCUACUGAGCGACGUCGUUGUGCUCUCCGUUGGUUCCUUGGUGGUUGCGUUUUUCUGUUGCCAUUUUUGUUGGCGAUGCUCCGCCCCUCCUUUGGACGGAGCAUUGCCAGUAUAUGGACUUUUUUUUAGAAUAACUGCAUAUUUUUUAACCAGCAAAUGUUACAAACAUAGCACAUACAUAACAUCGCUGAGAGAGCACGAGAGACCAAAGGUGUCCCAACACAAAUGCAAAAAGGUCUCAAAAAGGAGAAAAUACAAUCUGAACCCCCGGGGGCCUUAAUGCAUGAAGAACCAACACCAGUCGCUGACCGCCGCCAUCGACGACGAGACGAACGGCGAAGGAGGACGCCAGAAACCAUCAAACCCUGAGCCGAGGGCACACCAUCACUGAAAAGGGCUUUCUGAGUCGAAGAUGAGCCCGGUCGCAAACGGUGAGGCAUAGCCGUUGUGGCACGUCGACCGGGGAAAGUCCCCGUGCAAAUCCUCGGCUCCAGUUUCGGCACCUCCGUUGGACGAAGUCGAAGGAGAAUUACCAGAUCUACCGCCACAAACCACCACGAGAGUGUUGAGUCACCAAGUCUCUCGCCAACAGCCGCGGUCACCGCACGGGCCGGUGACCAACGCUGGCCCGAGCACUCCUAUACAAGACUCUGUCGGCUUCCCAUCGACACUGAAGAACGUGUCGAUGUGGCAGAGACGAAGCCGAGGGAACAAAACUCCCGAUGUCCCCUGCUUGACCAAAUCCGAGCACGCCAAGCCUGUCGCCGCACACGUCGGCCAGGCCAAACCUAACCUCACCGCCCAAGACGAGCGGCAGGAAUCUACGCCGAGCAGCGCCCGAGGAAACACCACCGAGACGGAGGCGGAACCGGAGGACAAAAGGCACGAGCUGGGCAGCCGUCGCCGCCUCGUCGACCCAGCCCCACCACCCAGAUAUCGCCAGCCACGCGAAACCUGCGAGCAGACCGAAGCUCCCAGCCUUCUCGCCCACCGCAACGCAUACCACCGCGUUGGGGAGAGAGCAGGGGCACCCUUAUUAGCCGCACUCGCCAUUCCCACCGGAGAUGCGAAAACGACCAGCCACCACCAAGCUACAAAGCCUACCUAGACUACACCUGUACAAGCCAUGCCCCCGGAUCCGACGACCCCAACCUGCACCGAAGAGCAUGAAGUCCCGGGGGAGAUGGCGUCGCCGGAUCCAAAGCCGGCAAAGGAGUCGCCUCUCACUAGUGGAAAACGGGCCUUUGGCCAGGACCCUUUAGUCCCGGCCUGCCUCUGGGCCGGGACUAAAGGCCCGGCCACGUCGCCCCAAUUCUCAAUGCCUCCCUCGAGGCUUUAGUCCCGGCCCGUAAGGAGCCUUUAGUCCCGGUUCAUGUUCCAAACCGGGACUAAAGGGCUACGCGGCGGGUAGUGGUGGUGGCAACCGUUCGUAUCCCCCUUUAGUCCCGGUUGGUGGCUCAACCCGGGACUAAAUCCCUAACCCGUGCCCUGCCGUAGUGGUGGUAACCGUUGGUAUACCUCUUUAGUCCCGGUUGGUGGCUCAACCCGGGACUAAAUCCCUAACACGUGGCCUGCCGUAGUGGUGGUAACCGUUGGUAUACCUCUUUAGUCCCGGUUGGUGGCUCACCCCGGGACUAAAUCCCUAACCCGUGCCCUGCCGUAGUGGUGGUAACCGUUGGUAUACCUCUUUAGUCCCGGUUGGUGGCUCAACCCGGGACUAAAGGCCCAAACGGUUUGCAUCCCGCGUCGUUUCGGGCGAUGAAAAGCACGAACCAAAGCAGAGUCGCCAUUUCUCUGUUUCUUCUUCUCUCUCGCUCUCGCUCUGUUCUUCUCCUCUCUUCUUCCAUCAUGCCAACUCGCUUUGGAGAGGUGCUCGCACAUGGCAAGACCAAGCUCGAUGUCGUGUACACGAACGAGAGCAGGGAGAUGCCGUAUUUUCUUGAACAGUUGAAGGAACGAUGGCUUGACGCCGCAAUGGAUCAUGAGAAGUUCUUGGGGCUUGAUCUGGAGUACACGGCCGAUCAACGCGGUGUUGCCGUCAUCCAACUAUGCUUCGCACACCAUGUCUUGAUCUUCCAAUGGGCGAGGUAAGUUUUGAGGCUUUCUUUGAUCCAAGGUAAUGACAUUGUAAGUUUAUUUGUUUCAAUCAUAGUUGGUUCCCUUCAAAUAGUUGUAGUGAAACAAUUUUGAUUAGUUGAAGGGGAACACAAUCUGAUUGGAAUAGUGUUCCAUAAUCUGAAAAAUCGUAUUAGAAUCAACUAGUGUUUAAUAUGUUCCAUUGGAAUCAUAGUUGGUUCGCUUCAAAUAGUUGUAGUGAAACAAUUUUGAUUAGUUGAAGGGAACACAAUCUGAUUGGAAUAGUGUUUCACAAUCUGAAAAAUCUGAUUGGUUCAAUAUGUUCCAUUGAAAUCAUAGUUGUAGUGAUACAAUUUUAUGCGGUGUUAUUUGAUCCAAGGUUAUGAAAAUUGCAUAUAGCUAGUGAUCUCUCUAGGUUCCAUUUGAUAGCAAUAUGAUAUGUCAUAGUCAUGAAAAUUGCAUAUAGCUAGUGAUCUCUCUAGGUUCCAUUGGAUAGCUAUAGUGAUCUCUCUAGGUUCCAUUGCAUAUGUUCUAUUUGAAUCCUAAAGAUAAUUUUCUCUUUAGUUGUAGUGAAACAUGUUUCCUUAUUGCAGCAGUAUGUAACAUUUUCCAUUUUAAUUUGUUUCUGUUGCAGUAGUGACAAGCAUUGUCCAGAACUCAUGGACUUCCUGCGCAGCGGCAUCACUUUUGCUACCGUUGACAUAACGAACGACAAGCUGAAGAUGAGGUACAGCUUCGGUAUUGAGAUACCAACUGGUUGCCUCAUUGAUCUCCAAACGGUAUUCAGGCUUCGACAUGUCAGGACUUCGAUGGCUCAUAUGGCAGUUGCCUUGAUCGACGAGGAAUAUGGUGAUAUGAAGACCAAUUUUCCCAAAGUCUCAGCACAAACUUUGGGAGAAGGCCCCACUUGAUCGUAUCAACAUUGAGUAUGCAACAAAAGAUGCAUACGUUUCAUACGAGUUGUACCGCAAGAUUCGAGUCGUCAACUAUGGCCAGCGUCACCUCGAAUAAGGUGGACAUUCUGAUUCGAGUCGUCAACUAUGAAAACUAAUUCCCGAACACCAAACGAGGCAUCACGUUAAUCUUCCGAACACCUAAACCCUAAAAUCCUAAAACCCAAAAAUAAUUUCAUUCAAAAAAAACCCAAAAAUAAGCAAAAUCUAAAACUCUUUAGUCCCGGUCCGUGUAACGAGCCGGGACUAAAGGGCCUGCCCCUGAGGCGCUACGAGGCGCCCACGUGGAGCAUCUUUAGUCCCGGCUUGUAACAGGGCCGGGACUAAAGGUUAGGCGUCCCGGUUGGUGAACCGGGACUAAAGUCCCUUACGGGCCGGGGCUAAAGGCCCCGUCUCCACUAGUGUCUGGCAGUAUAUGGACUUGUGGUAACCUUUGUUAGGACUUAGGUGCUCCAUCCCUGUUCCUCACCUCUCACCUGAUUUGGACGCCCACCGGUUUGGUCUGGCCUAGUAUCUUUUUCCAGUCAUUUCUCGGUUAGAUGCGGAAGAUUUGCCGCAUGAUCUAGCGAUUGCAUCUGACGUUUUUCUUGACUGGUGAUUAAAGUUGGUCGUUAAGGUCUUGUUGAACGUACGUGUGGACCAAAAUAUGUUUUUAUCUUUGUGACAAGUACAAUGACCGCUGUUGUAUUUAUCUCUCAUCUCAACCCUCAACUAAAUUCUAUGUGAAUUCCUAGUAUCUCUUGCAAUCCCUGGUAUCCAUCAAUUGGUUCUGUCGCGCUCCUAAGUUCUCCUUCCCUCUCCGAUCAUAUAUCUCUUUAGUCGAAUCAUGGCAAGGUCAUGUCAAGACCCAAAUGUUUUUUCAAAAAGAUAGUAUAAACACACACACUCACAUCCAUGAACGCACAUACGCACGUUCUAUUCCUAUAAGCACAUUUGAAAGGCUGAGCCGGCGGAUGUUAAGAUUGACAAAGUCACAACAAACGUCACAUCACUCUAUGGACAGAAACAUUGCCUCCCAUUGAGAGUACAUUUCGCGUUUAUCACACACCAAAGCAUCAACAUUUAAUUCCUUGUGUUAGGAAUUAAUUAAAUGUAUUAAUUAAUGGAAUAAUCCAUGCGUUGCCGGUUGCCUUGAUUUAGCAACCGUUCCUUGUAACCGACUCUGUACUCGGGGUAUAAAUACCCCGCAUCUUCAAUCAAUAAUAAUUGUUCCAUCAUUCUGUCACUUUCACUGUUUUACACGUUAUCAGCACUCGCUCUGCCGAGAGCGACAGAGAGCCACGAGAAAGGUCAGAAUGGCAGGAAGAGAGUUGUCUGCACUUGCUUUUGCUUUCGCACGCUUCCUGCAGAAAGAGAACACCCGCUUCCCUCGCACUCAGCGCCACCGCAUUGCACGUCGCCAUCAGGGUCUUGGUGCAAGGAAUGGCCCUCAUCGCCGUUCCUUCACCAGGAACCACCGCCAGAACCGGAGUGGCCCUCAUCGCCGCUUCUUCGCCGGGAACCACCGCCAGAACCACCGCCGUGGGUAUGCACGUCGAGGCAACCAACCACUUCGUGGGCGUGCACCAACGGUGCACCAGGCUGGAUCCUCGACUCCGGCCACCGCUCCACUACAACAGGCUGGUGUUGUAGAUAUGCCCUAGAGGCAAUAAUAAAUUAGUUAUUAUUAUAUUUCUUAGNNNNNNNNNNNNNNNNNNNNNNNNNNNNNNNNNNNNNNNNNNNNNNNNNNNNNNNNNNNNNNNNNNNNNNNNNNNNNNNNNNNNNNNNNNNNNNNNNNNNUGGAUAAUAAACUAUUAUCUUGAUACAGGAAUUAUAAUAAUAACUAUGCAUUUAUUAUUGCCUCUAGGGCAUAAUUCCAACAGUGCCUUCUAGUUGCACUGUCUGUACCCAGACAGUUUAUAACUCUUCCGCUGGCUUGUAUUUGUAUGACUGCUAUUAUGGGUCGAGAGACCUUAAUGUGUAAUAUUAUGUGUGUGGCUCUUNNNNNNNNNNNNNNNNNNNNNNNNNNNNNCUUCCGAGCCUCUUAAAUAAAGCUUGUAUGUUUAUGGUUAUGUUGUGAUGCCAUCGAUGUAUCUAUACAUAUCGGUAUGCCAUGCGUACGUGUGUCUUACUUGGUAUGUAUGGGGUUCGAAUACCUAGUCGUGAACUUUAGUAGCACUCCUUACAAGGAAAUGCCCCUUUGUGAUCCAACGAGCCUUGGUAGUUCGCUACUGCUCCGGACACAUUGGUUGACCGGCAUGUGUCCUUCUUAGCUGCUGUGUCUGUCCCCUUUGGGGAAAUUUCACGCGAUGUAAUGGAGUCCUUGUAGCUUGCUACGACUCGUCUACAUUCGCCGAUGACCGACACCUGCUUUGUUGGGUCAUGUAUGCCUGUCCUUGUGCGGUACUGCCACUUUGGUUUAUGACUAGACAUGUCGAUCCGGGUUCUUUGACAUUGGAUUGCUAGCGACACUAUCGCAUACGUGAGUCAAAAGACGCAAACGGUCCCGGCUAAGGUAAGGCUGCAGCCGUGGAGUUAACCGUGCGUGAGACCACAAAGGGAUGCGAUGUGUUACAGGCUAGAUUCCUAUGGCUUAGGAUCGAGGUCCCGACACUUUAAAAUAUCCAUUUGUACUUAACGGUCUUACGACCAUCAAGUAGUUCUUCCAAAGUCUACACUUUGUUUUCAUACAUGGAUCCUCUCUCGGAUUUCAUGGCCUCCAGCCAUUUAUCGGAAUUCGAGCCCACCAUCGCUUCUCCAUAGCUCGUAGGUUCAUUGUUGUUCAACAACAUGACCUCCAAGACAGGGUCACCGUACCACUCUGUAGCAGUACGCGACCUUGUCGACCUACGAGGUUUGUAGUAGCUUGAUCAGAAGCUUAAUGAUCACAAUCAUUAGUUUCCACUUCAAUUUGCGUAGGCGCCACAUGAACAAAUUCCUGCGCCCUGCUACACACUAGUUGAAGUGAUGGUUCAAUAACCUCAUCAAGUUCCACCAUCCUCCCACUCAGUUCUUUCGAGAGAAACUUUUCCUCGAGAAAGGACCCGUUUCUAGAAACAAACACUUUGCUUCCGGAUCUGAGAUAGGAGGUAUACCCAACUAUUUUGGGUGUCCUAUGAAGAUGCGUUUAUCCGCUCUGGGUUCGAGCUUAUCAUGCUGAAACUUUUCCACAUGAGCAUCGCAGCCCCAAACUUUUAAGAAACGACAGCUUAGGUUUCUCCAAACCAUAGUUCAUACGGUGUCAUCUCAACGGAAUUACGUGGUACCCUAUUUAAAGUGAAUGUGGUUGUCUCUAAUGCCUAACCCAAAACGAUAGUGGUAUUUCGAUAAGAGACAUCAUAGUAUGCACCAUAUCAAAUAGGGCGCGGCUAUGACAUUCAGACAAACCAUCACACUAUGGUGUUCUAGGUGGCAUGAACUGCAAAACAAUUUCCACAUUGUCUUAACCGUGUACCAAAACUCGCAGCUCAGAUAUUCAUCUCUAUGAUCAUAUCGUAGACAGUUUAUCCUCUUGUCACGAUGAUCUUCACUCUGGAAUAGCUUUGAACUUUUCAAUAUUUCAGACUUGUGAUUCAUCAAGUAAAUACUCAUGUAUCUACUCAAAUCAUCAGUGAAGUGAGAACAUAACGAUAUCCACUGCGUGCCUUAGCACUCAUUGGACUGCACAUAUCAAAAAUCUAUUGCAUCCAACAAGUUACUUUCUUGUUCCAUGUGGUAUGAUUUUGCAUGUCUCAAGUGAGUUAAAAUCAAGUGAUUCCAAACGAUCCAUCUGCAUGGAGUUUCUUCAUGCGUUUAUACCAACAGGUAUGGUUUCCAUGUCUCAAACGUUUCAAAAAUGAGUGAGUACAAAGAUCCAUAAGCAUGGAGUUUCUUCAUGCAUUUUACACCAACAUGACUCAAGCGGCAGUGCCACAAGUAAGUGGUUCUAUCAUUAUUACUUUGUAUCUUUUGGCACCACUAUUAUGAAUAUGUGUAACACUACGAUCGAGAUUCAAUAAAUCAUUGAAGGUAAUUAUUCAAGAAAAUAGAAUAACCAUUAUUCUCUUUAAAUGAAUAAUCGUAUUGCAAUAAACACGAUCCAAUCAUGUUCAUGCUCAAAGCAAACACCAAAUAACAAUUAUUUAGGUUUAACACCAAUCCCGAUGGUAGAGGGAGCGUGCGAUGUUUUGAUCACAUCAACCUUGGAAACACUUUCAACACGUAUCGUCACCUCGCCUUUAGCUAGUCUCCGUUUAUUUCGUAGCUUUUAUUUCGAGUUACCAAUCACUUAGCAACCGAACCGGUAUCUAAUACCCUCGUGCUACUAGGAGUACUAGUAAAGUACACAUCAAUAUCAUGUAUAUCAAAUAUACUUCUGUUGACUUCGCCAGCCUACUCAUCUACCAAGUAUAUAGGGUAGCUCCGCCUCAGUGACCGUUCACCUCAUAACAAAAGCACUUAAUCUCGGGUUUGGGUUCAAUCUUGGGUUUCUUCAUUAGAGCAGCAACUGGUUUGUCGUUUCAUGAAGUAUCUCUUCUAGCCCUUGCCCUUCUUGAAACUAGUGGUUUUACUAACCAUCAACAAUUGAUGCUCCUUCUUGAUUUCUACUUUCGUAGUGUCAAACAUUGUGAAUCGCUCAAGGAUCAUCAUAUAUAUCCUUGAUAUGUUAUAGUUCAUCACGAAGCUCUAGCAGCUUGGUGGCAGUGACUUUGGAGAACCAUCACUAUCUCAUCUGGAAGAUUAACUCCCACUUGAUUCAAGCGAUUGUUAUACUGAGCACAUGCUCAACGAUUGAGCUUUUCUCCUUUACUUUGUAGACAAAGAAUCUUGUUGGAGGUCUCAUACCUUUCAACAAGGGCACGAGCAUGAAAUCUCAAUUUCAUAUCUUAGAACAUCUUUUAUGUUCCGUGACGUUUCAAAAUGUCUUCGGCGUCUUGCAUCUAAGCCAUUAAGUAUUACGCACUGAACUAUCACGUAGUCAUGAAAAAUGUGUAUGUCAGAUGUUCGCAACAUCCACAGACGACGCUUGAGGUGCAGCACACCGAGUGGUGCAUUAAGGACAUAAGCCUUCUACGCAGCAAUGAGGACAAUCCUCAGUUUUACGUACUCAGUCCGCAAAGUUACUACUAUCAUCUUUCAACUAAAUUUUCUCUAGGAACAUAUAAAAAAACAGUAGAGCUAUAGCGCAAGCUACAUCAUAAUUCGCAAAGACCUUUUGACCAUGCUCAUGAUAAUUAGUUCAAUUAAUCAUAUUACUUAAGAACUCCCACUCAAAAAAUACAUCCCUCUAGUCAUUUCAGUGGUGCAUGAUCCAAAUCCACUAACCCAAGUCCGAUCAUCACGUGAGUUGCGUAUAGUUUCAGUGGUAAACAUCUCUAUGCUAAUCAUAUCAACUAUAUGAUUCAUGCUCGACCUUUCGGUCUCUUGUGUUCCGAGGCCAUGUCUGCACAUGCUAAGCUCGUCAAGUUUAACCCGAGUGUUCCGCGUGUGCAACUGUUUUGCACCCGUUGUAUGCGAACGUUGAGUCUAUCACACCCGAUCAUCACGUGGUGUCUCGAAACGACGAACUGUCGCAACGGUGCAUAGUCGGGGAGAACACAAUUUUAUCUUGAAAUUUUAGUGAAGGAUCACGUUAUAAUGCUACCAUCGUUCUAAGAAAGAUAAGGUGCAUAAAAGGAUUAACAGCACAUGCAAUUCAUAAGUGACAUGAUAUGGCCAUGAUCUUGUGCUUCUUGAUCUCCAUCACCAAAGCACCGACAUGAUCUUCAUCGUCACCGGCACCACACCAUGAUCUCCACCAUCGUGCCGCCAUCGAGGUUGUCGUGCUAUAUACGCUAUCACUACUAAAGCUACAACCUAGCGAUAUAGUAAACGCAUAUGCAAACACAAACGUUAGUUUAAAGACAACCUUAUGGAUCCUGCCAGUUGCCGUAGCAUCGACGUGCAAGUCGAUAUUUAACUAUUACAAAAUGAUCAUCUCAUACAUCCAAUAUAUCACAUCAUGUCUUUGGCCAUAUCACAUCACAUGCAUACCCUGCAAAAACAAGUUAGACAUCCUCUAAUUUGUUGUUGCAUGUUUUACGUGGCUCCUAUGGGUAUCUAGUAUGAUCGCAUCUUACUUACGCAUAGCCACAACGGUAAUAUGCAAAUUGCUAUUUAACCUUUCUCCAAGGACCGCCUCGGUCAAAUCCGAUUCAACUAAAGUUGAAGAAACAGACACCCGCCAGUCAUCUUUAUGCAACAAGUUGCAUGUUAGUCGAUGAAACCGGUCUCUUGUAAGCGUACGAUUAAGGUUGGUUUGGGCCGCUUCAAUCCAACAAUACCGCCGAAUCGAGAAAAUACUAAGGAGGGCAGCAAAUUGAACAUCAAUGCCCACAAAAACUUGUUUGUUCUACUCGAGAUUACAUCUACGCAUGAACCUAGCUCAUGAUGCCACUAUUGGGGAACGUUUCAUGGGAAACUAAAAAAUUCCUACACACACGAAGACCUAUCAUGGUGAUGAUCAUCUACGAGAGGGAGAUCGGGUCCACAUACCCUUGUAGAUCGCUAAGUGGAAAUGUUAAGAAACGUGUAUGAUGUAGUGGUAUGUCUUCACGAUCCGUCCCACGAACCGUCUCACGAUCCGUCCCGAUCAAGUGUUGAACGGACGGCACCUCCGCGUUCCGCACACGUACAGCUCGAUGACGAUCUCCGCCUUCUUGAUCCAGCAAGAGGGGCGGAGAGGUAGAUGAGUUCUCCAGCAUGGCGAUGUGGUGGUGGUGUUGGUGGUGCUAUUCCAGCAGGGCUUCGCCUAAGCACCGCUGAAACUAGAGGAGAAACAGAUCUAGAGAGAGAGGGCAGCACGUGGCUGUUUCUGUUGUCCAAAAACCCUCAAAACCCUUAGUAUAUAUAGGAGGAGAGGAGGGAGAGGGUUGCGCCCUAGAGCAACCUUCUCUUCCCUUGCGCAAGGGAGAGGAGGAGGAGUCCUACUCCAAUCCUAUUUGGAGUAGGAUUCCUCCUUCCCACUUGGAAACUCUUUCCACCUUGUGUUUUUCCUUCUCAAACCUUAUGGGUCUUAGUGGGAACUUAUUCGAGCCCACUAGGGGAUGGUUUAUCUCUUGCCACAGCCCAUAAGGCCUCUUGGGGCGUGACACCCCUCCCGAUGGUCCCCGGCACACCUCCCGGCACUCCCGGUACACUACCGAUGAGCCCGAAACUUUUCCCGUGACCAAAACAGGACUCCCUAUAUAUCAAUCUUCAUUUCCGGACCAUUCUGGAAACCUUCGUGAUGUACGGGAUCUCAUCCGGCACUCUGAACAACCUUCGGUCACCAACACAUAUAACUUAACUAUACCGAAACAUCACCGAACUUUAAGUGUGUAGACCCUGCGGGUUCGAGAACUAUGUAGACAUGACCUGAGACACUCUUCGGUCAAUAACCAACGGCGGGACCUCGAUGUUCAUAUUGGCUCCUACAUAUUCUACGAAUAUCUCUAUCGGUUGAACCUCUAUGUCAAGGAUUAAUAUAAUCCCGUAUACUAUUCCCUUUGUCCUUCGGUAUGUUACUUGCCCGAGAUUCGAUCGUUGGUAUCUCCAUACCGAGUUCAAUCUCGUUACCGGCAAGUCUCUUUACUCGUUCCAUAAUACAAGAUCUCGUGACUAACUCCUUAGUCAUAUUGCUUGCAAGGCUUGUUGUGAUGUUGUAUUACCGAGUGGGCCCCCUAGAUACCACUCCGUCACAUGGAGUGACAAAUCACAGUCUUGAUCCAUGCCAACCUAAUAGACACCUUUGGAGAUACGUGUAGAGCACCUUUAUGGUCACCCAGUUAUGUUGUGACGUUUGAUACACACAAGGCAUUCCUCCGGUGUCCGGGAGUUGUGAUACGUCCAUUUUGCAUCAUGUUUUCAUGUUGAUAUUUAUUGCUUCUUGGGAUGUUAUAUUACUUGUGGUGCCAUAUUUAUGCCUUUUCGCUCUUAUUUUGCAAGGAUUAUUUGAAGAGGGAGAAUUCAGGCAGCUGGAAUUCUGGACUAGAAAAGGAGCAAAUCCUAGUCCACUAUUCUGCACAUCUCCAAAUGCCCUGAAAAUUUUCGUGGAUUUUUUCUAGAAUAUAUUAAAAAUACUGGGCGAAAGAACUACCAGAGGGGGCCACCAGGGCCCCACAAGCUUGCCCACCGCCGCCGCCCCCCUGGUGGCGCACGGCAGGCUUGUGGGCAGCCCACUGGCCCACUAGCCCCCCUCUUUUGCUAUAUGAUGCGUCCUGACCUGGAGAAAAUCAUACAGGAGCUUUUUCGUGGUUUCCCCGCCGCCACAGGGCGGAACUUGAGUAGAUCCAAUCUAGAGCUCCGGCAGGACGAUCUUGUCGGGGAAAUUUCCCUCCCGGAGGGGGGAAUCAUCACCAUCUUCAUCACCAACACUCCUCUCAGCGGAGGGGAGGCAUCUUCAUCAACAUCUUCAUCGGCACCAUCUCUUCUCCAAUCCCUAGUUCAUCUCUUGUAACCAAUCUUCGUCUCGCAACUCAGAUUAGUACUUGUAAGGUUGCUAGUAGUGUUGAUUACUCUUUGUAGUUGAUGCUUGUUGGAUUACUUGGUGGAAGAGUUUAUGUUCAGAUCCUUGAUGCUAUUCAUUACACCUCUGGUCAUGAUUAUGAUUAUAUCUUGUGAGUAGUUACUUUUGUUCCUAAGGACAUGGAAUAAGUCAUGCUGAUAAUAGUCAUGUGAAUUUGAUAUUCGUUCAGUAUUUUGAUAUGAUGUAUGUUGUUUUUCCUCUAGUGGUGUUAUGUGAACGUGGACUACAUAACACUUCACCAUAUUUGAGCCUAGAGGAAGGCAUUGUGAAGUAGUAAGUAGAUGAUGGGUUGCUGGAGUGACAGAAGCUUAAACCCCAGUUUAUGCGUUGCUUCGUGAGGGGAUGAUUUGGAUCCACUAGUUUAAUGCUAUGGUUAGACUUUGUCUUAAUUCUUCUUUUGUAGUUGCGGAUGCUUGCUAGAGAGGUUAAUCAUAAGUGGGAUGCUUGUCCAAGUAAGGUCAGUACCCAAGCGCCGGUCCACCCACAUAUCAAACUAUCAAAGUAACGAACGCGAAUCAUAUGAACAUGAUGAAACUAGCAUGACAGAAAUUCUCAUGUGUCCUCGGGAGCAUUUUUCCUCCUAUAUGACUUUGUUCAGGCUUGUCCCUUGCUACAAAAGGGAUUGGGCCACUUGCUGCACCGUUGCUACUACUUGUUAUUUGUUACUCUUUGCUUGCUACGUUUCACCUCGCUACACAAUCACUUGUUACCGCUACUUUCAGUGCUUGCAGUUAUUACCUUGCUGAAAUUCGUUUAUCACAGCCUUCUGCUCCUCGUUGGGUUCGACAAUCUUACUUAUAGAAAGGACUAUGAUUGAUCCCCUAUACUUGUGUUGGAAAUAUGCCCUAGAGGCAAUAAUAAAUUAGUUAUUAUUAUAUUUCUUUGUUCAUGAUAAUCGUUUCUUAUCCAUGCUAUAAUUGUAUUGAUUGGAAACACAGUGCAUGUGUGGAUACACAGACAAAACACAGUCCCUAGUAAGCCUCUAGUUGACUAGCUCGUUGAUCAAAGAUGGUCAAGGUUUCCUGACCAUAGGCAAGUGUUGUCACUUGAUAACGGGAUCACAUCAUUAGGAGAAUCAUGUGAUGGACUAGACCCAAACUAAUAAGACGUAGGAUGUUGAUCGUGUCAUUUUGUUGCUAUUGUUUUCUGCGUCUCAAGUAUUUGUUCCUAUGACCAUGAGAUCAUAUAACUCACUGACACCGGAGGAAUGCUUUGUGUGUAUCAAACGUUGCAACGUAACUGGGUGACUAUAAAGAUGCUCUAUAGGUAUCUCCGAAGGUGUUCGUUGAGAUAGUAUGGAUCGAGACUGGGAUUUGUCACUCCGUGUGACGGAGAGGUAUCUCGGGGCCCACUCGGUAAUACAACAUCACNNNNNNNNNNNNNNNNNNNNNNNNNNNNNNNNNNNNNNNNNNNNNNNNNNNNNNNNNNNNNNNNNNNNNNNNNNNNNNNNNNNNNNNNNNNNNNNNNNNNNNNNNNNNNNNNNNNGGUAAACGAGAUUGAAAUAGGUAUGCGGAUACUGACGAUCGAAUCUCGGGCAAGUAACAUACCGAAGUACAAAGGGAAUGACAUACGGGAUUAUAUGAAUCCUUGGCACCGAGGUUCAAACGAUAAGAUCUUCGUAGAAUAUGUAGGAUCCAAUAUGGGCAUCCAAGUCCCGCUAUUGGAUAUUGACCGAGGAGUCACUCGGGUCAUGUCUACAUAGUUCUCGAACCCGCAGGGUCUGUACACUUAAGGUUCGACGUUGUUUUAUGCGUAUUUGAGUUAUAUGGUUGGUUACCGAAUGUUGUUCGGAGUCCCGGAUGAGAUCACGGACAUCACGAGGGUUUCCGGAAUGGUCCGGAAACAAAGAUUGAUAUAUAGGAUGACCUCAUUUGAUUACCGGAAGGUUUUCGGAGUUACCGGGAAUAUACCGGGAAUGACGAAUGGGUUCCUCGGAAUGUACCAGGAAUGACGAAUGGGUUCCGGGUGUUCACCGGGGGGGCAACCCACCCCGGGGAAGCCCAUAGGCCUUGGGGGUGGCGCACCAGCCCUUAGUGGGCUGGUGGGACAGCCCAAUAAGGCCCUAUGCGCCAUAGGAAGAAAAUCAAAGAGAAAAAGGAAAAAAGAAAAGGGGAGGUGAGAAAAAGGGGAAGGACUCCACCUUCCAAACCUAGUUGGAUUCGGUUUGGAAGGGGAGGACUCCCCCCCUUGGCUCGACCGACCCCCAAGGCAAGGCCCCCCUCUCCCACCUAUAUAUACGGAGGUUUUAGGGUUGAUUUGAGACAACUUUGCCACGGCAGCCCGACCACAUACCACCAUGGUUUUACCUCUAGAUCGCGUUUCUGCGGAGCUCGGGUGGAGCCCUGCUGAGAUUAGAUCACCACCAAACUCCGGAGCGCCGUCAUGCUGCCCGAGAACUCAUCUACCUCUCCGUCUCUCUUGCUGGAUCAAGAAGGCCGAGAUCAUCGUCGAGCUGUACGUGUGCUGAACGCGGAGGUGCCGUCCGUUCGGCACUAGAUCGUGGGACGGAUCGCGGGACGGUUUGCGGGGCGGAUCGAGGGACGUGAGGACGUUCCACUACAUCAACCGCGUUUCUUAACGCUUCUGCUGUGCGAUCUACAAGGGUACAUAGAUCAAAUAUCCCCUCUCGUAGAUGGACAUCACCAUGAUAGGUCUUCGUGCGCGUAGGAAAAUUUUUGUUUCCCAUGCGACGUUCCCCAACAACUUGUGGGUCAUCAAGACUCUUUUCUGGCGCCGUUGCCGGGGAGUGAAGCGCCUUUGGUAAGUGGAAAUUGGUAAGGAAACAAUUUUAUACUGUGCUGAAAUUUAUUGUCACUUGUCACUAUGGAAACUCUUCCUUUGAGGAGUUUGUUCGGGGUAUCUUCACCAUGAACGGAAGCACGAGGAUUUGCUCCUCAACCUGAGGUACCUACUGAAAAUAUCUUUUAUAAAAUUCCUUUGGGUAUGCUUGAGAAAUUGCUGGCUAAUCCUUUUACAGGAGAUGGAUCUUCACAUCCAGACUUUCAUCUAAUCUAUGUAGAUGAAGUUUGUGGUUUAUUUAAGCUUGCAGGUUUGCCCGAGGAUGAGGUAAAGAAGAAACUCUUUCCUUUAUCUUUGAAGGAUAAGGCAUUGACAUGGUAUAGGCUAUGUGAUGAUACUGGAUCAUGCAGCUACAAUCGGUUGAAAUUGGAAUUUCAUCAAAAGUUCUAUCCCAUGCAUUUAGUAUAUCAUGAUCGGAACUUUAUUUAUAACUUUUGGCCUCGUGAUAGGGAAAGCAUAGCUCAAGCUUGGGGGAGGCUUAAAUCAAUGCUAUAUUCAUGCCCCAAUCAUGAGCUCUCGAGAGAAAUCAACACUCAAAACAUUUAUGCUCGGAUUUCUCAUGAAGAUCGUACCAUGCUUGAUACUUCUUGUGCCGGUUCUUUUAUGAAGAAGAAUAUUGAUCACAAGUGGAAUUUAUUGGAGAGAAUCAAACGCAACUCUGGAGAUUGGGAGCUGGAGGAAGGUAAGGACUCAGGUAUGAAUUUCUAUUUUGAUUGCGUUAAAUCUUUUGUUGAGACAAACACUUCUAGAGAGCGCUAAGUAUGGACUUGACUCUGAGAUAGUAGCUUCUCUUUGUAAAUCUUUUGCUGCUCAUGUUGAUCUUCCCAAAGAGAAGUGGUUUAAAUAUCAUCCUCCUGUAGAAAGCAACAUAGCCAAAACCAAUCUAGUUGAGGAGAAAAUCAUAGCUUUUAGUGAUCCUGUUGUUCCUUGUGCUUACACUGAGAAACCACCAUACCCUGCUAGGAUGAAGGAUUAUUCUAAAGCUCCAACUGUGAUACGUAGGGGUUACAUUAGACCACUUGCACCCCCUGAAGAGAUUAGAGUUGAACCUAGUGUUGCUAUUAUCAAAGAUCUCUUAGCCAAAGAGAUAGAUGGGCAUGUUAUCAAAUUCUGUGAGGACUCCGCUAGAAUUGCUAAACCUCACGCGAAAGACAAGCACGGACCUGUAGUUGGCCUGCCCGUUGUUUCUGUUAAGAUAGGAGAUCACUGUUACCAUGGUUUAUGUGAUAUGGGAGCUAGUGUUAGUGCAAUACCCCGUUCUCUAUAUGAUGAAAUCAAAGAUGAGAUUGCACCAGCUGAGAUAGAACCCAUUGAUGUCACUAUCACGCUAGCUAAUAGAGACACUAUAUGCCCUUUGGGAAUUGUGAGAGAUGUAGAAGUCCUGUGUGGUAAGACGAAGUAUCCUACUGAUUUCCUCGUCCUUGGUACUACACAAGAUAGCUUUUGUCCCAUCAUAUUCGGUAGACCCUUUCUCAACACUAUCAAUGCUCACAUUGAUUGCAUUAAGCAGACUGUCAUAGUAAGUUUCGAGGGUGUGUCUCAUGAAUUUAACUUCUCCAAGUUUGGAAGACAACCCCAUGAAAGAGAUUCAUCUGGUAGGGAUGAAAUCAUUGCUCUUUCCUCUAUUGCCAUACCUCCUACGAAUCCUUUAGAGCAAUAUCUGCUUGAGCAUGAAAAUGAUAUGCAUACGGAGGAGAGAGAUGAGAUAGAUAGAAUUGUCUUAGAACAAUGUCCUAUUCUCAAGAAUAAUCUGCAUGUUGAACUGCUUGGGGAUCCUCCCCCACCAAAGGGUGAUCCUGUGUUCGAGCUUAAACAGUUGCCUGAUACUCUUAAGUAUGCCUAUCUUGAUGAGAAGGAGAUAUAUCCUGUCAUUAUUAGUGCUCUCCUCUCAGAGCGUGAAGAGAAGAAGUUACUAAAAACUCUGAGGAAGCACCGCGCUGCUAUUGGAUAUACUCUUGAUGAUCUUAAGGGUAUUAGUCCUACUCUAUGUCAGCACAAGAUUAAAACCGAUCCUGACUUUAAACCAGUUGCUGAUCAUCAAAGGAGAUUAAAUCCUAAGAUGAAAGAGGUCGUUAGAAAAGAAAUAUUAAAGCUUCUGGAAGCAGGAAUCAUUUAUCCUAUUGCUCAUAGUGAUUGGGUAAGUCCAGUACAUUGCGUACCUAAGAAGGGAGGUAUCACCGUCGUUCCUAAUGAUAAGGAUGAACUAAUCCCACAAAGGAUUAUUACCGGCUAUAGAAUGGUGAUAGACUUCCGGAAACUGAACAAGGCAACCAGGAAAGAUCAUUAUCCUUUGCCGUUCAUCGACCAAAUGCUAGAAAGGCUAUCAAAGCACACACACUUUUGCUUUCUAGACGGUUAUUCAGGUUUCUCGCAAAUACCUGUUGCAUAAUUUGAUCAAGAGAAAACCACCUUCACCUGCCCUUUCGAUACCUUUGCCUAUAGAUGUAUGCCUUUUGGCUUAUGUAAUGCACCUGCCACCUUUCAAAGAUGUAUGAUGGCUAUAUUCUCUGACUUUUGUGAAAAGAUUGUCGAGGUUUUCAUGGAUGACUUCUCCAUUUACGGGUCUUCCUUUGAUGAUUGCCUCAGCAACCUUGAUCGAAUCUUACAGAGAUGCGAAUAAACCAACCUCGUCUUGAAUUGGGAGAAGUGCCACUUUAUGGUUAAUGAAGGUAUCGUCUUAGGACACAAAAUCUCUGAAAGAGGCAUUGAAGUUGAUAAGGCUAAGGUUGAUGCAAUUGAGAAAAUGCCUUGCCCCACAGAUAUCAGAGGUAUACGAAGUUUCCUAGGUCAUGCUGAUUUCUAUAGAAGGUUCAUUAAAGACUUCUCUAAGAUUUCUAGGCCUCUUACCAACCUCUUGCAGAAGGAUGUUCCUUUUGUUUUUGAUGAGGAUUGUGAGGAAGCCUUCGAAAUACUUAAGAAGGCUUUGAUAACCGCACCUAUUGUUCAACCACCUGACUGGAACUUUCCCUUUGAAAUCAUGUGUGACGCUAGUGAUUAUGCUGUUGGUGUUGUUCUAGGACAAAGAGUUGACAAGAAGUUGAAUGUCAUUCACUACGCUAGUAAAACUCUAGACAGUGCCCAAAGGAACUAUGCCACUACGGAGAAGGAAUUUUUAGCACUCGUGUUUGCAUGUGAAAAAAUCAGAUCUAACAUAGUUGACUCCAAGGUCACUAUUCACUCUGAUCAUGCUCCUAUUAAGUACCUUAUGGAGAAGAAGGACGCUAAGCCUAGGCUUAUCAGAUGGGUUCUCCUGCUACAGGAAUUUGAUUUGCACGUCAUUGACCGAAAGGGUGCUGAUAACCCUGUAGCAGAUAACUUGUCUAGGCUAGAGAAUGUCCUUGAUGACCCACUACCAAUUGAUGACAGCUUUCCUGAUGACCAAUUAAAUGUCAUCCGCACUUCACUUAGUGCACCAUGGUAUGCCGAUUAUGCAAACUAUAUCGUAGCCAAAUACAUACCACCCAGUUUCACCUAUCAACAAAAGAAGAAAUUCUUCUUUGAUUUGAGACACUACUUUUGGGAUGAUCCUCACCUUUAUAAGGAAGGAGUAGAUGGUGUUAUUAGACGUUGUGUGCCUGAACAUGAACAGGGACAGAUCCUGCAGAAGUGUCAUUCCGAAGCCUACGGAGGACACCACGCUGGAGAUAGAACUGCCCAUGAGGUAUUGCAAUCAGGUUUCUAUUGGCCCACUCUCUUCAAGGAUGCUCGUAAGUUUGUCUUGUCUUGUGACAAAUGCCCAAGGAUAGGGAACAUCAGUAAGCGUCACAAGAUGCCUAUGAACUAUUCACUUGUCAUUGAACCAUUUGAUGUCUGGGGCUUUGAUUAUAUGGGACCCUUCCCGAGUUCCAGUGGGUACACUCACAUCUUAGUUGUUGUGGAUUACGUUACUAAGUGGGUAGAAGCUAUCCCCACUAAAAAUGCUGAUCACCACAACUCUAUUAAGAUGCUUAAAGAAGUUAUAUUCCCAAGAUUUGGAGUCCCUAGAUACUUGAUGACUGAUGGCGGUUCACACUUCAUUCAUGGUGUUUUCCGCAAGAUGCUAGCUAAGUAUGAUGUCAACCAUAGAGUUGCAUCUCCUUAUCAUCCUCAGUCUAGUGGUCAAUUGGAGUUGAGUAAUAGGGAGAUCAAGUUGAUCUUACAAAAGACCGUCAAUAGAUCCCGAAAGAACUGGUCUAGCAAACUUGACGAUGCACUAUGGGCUUAUAGGACUGCUUAUAAAAAUCCCAUGGGCAUGUCACCGUAUAAAAUGGUUUACGGUAAGGCCUGUCAUUUACCUCUUGAGUUGGAACACAAAGCUUAUUGGGCAAUCAAAGAGCUCAACUUUGAUUUCAAACUUGCCAGUGAGAAGCGGUUGUUUGAUAUCAGCUUGUUGGAUGAAUGGAGAGCCCAGGCAUAUGAGAAUACCACGUCGUCAAGGAAAAGGUUAAGAGAUGGCACGACAAACGAAUACAGAAACGAGAGUUCAAUGUAGGUGAUUAUGUCUUGCUAUACAAUUCUCGUUUGAGAUUCUUUGGAGGCAAGCUUCUCUCUAAAUGGGAAGGUCCCUACGUUGUCGAGGAAGUAUAUCGUUCCGGUGCCAUCAAAAUCAAUAAUACAAGGAAAUUUUCCUAGAGUGGUAAAUGGGCAAAGAAUCAAGCAUUACAUCUCUGGUACUCCCAUAAAUGUUGAGACCAAUAUCAUCAAUGUCAUAACUCCACAGGAGUACAUAAGGGAUGUUUAUCAGCCUGUUUCAGACCUUGAAAACGAAGAUGUAUCUGUUUCGGCAAGAAAUUGGACUCCGAUACUUUUCCAAUAGGAAAUUUCCUCAGUUUUGGAAUUUUUGGAAAAUUAGAAAAAUAAAAAAGCAGUCCGGAGAGCAAACGAGGAAGCCACAAGGGCCCACUCCGCCACCACCCCCUGGUGGCGGUGGGCAAGCUUGUGGGCACCUUGUGUGCCUCCCGGACUCCGUUUUCUUGCAGAGGACUCCUUCUGGCCCAGAAAAAAUCAAUAUAUAGUUGCCCGAAGGUUUUGAUCUUCAUAUCGCGUAGUUUUCCUCUGUUUUCGUUUCGAGCUUGUUUCUGCCGCAGAUCUAGAUCAUCAUGACUUCCCCAAACGCUCCUAAGGACAAGAUCUUGGAGAAGGUCAUCAAUCCCUACCUCACGGAAGUGCUAAAACACCAUCAAUCUAUCAAGAUGAGCGAGGGGAUGUUGCACAUCCGUGAUGUUGAGGGGCCUAAGAAGACCGGAAGCAUGGAGACGAGGCUCGAAGUAGUGGAGCAACAAGUCUUCAUGUGCCAAGGGAUGGUUGAGCGUGGACUCAACGCCAACCACACGAUGAUCACGGAGUUCACUAGCAAUCACAAGAUGGAUGUCAUUGAUAUCGGGAAACACCUCUCCAGACUUUACGAUAGGGUUGACCAACUUCAGGGCCAAAUCUAUGACCUGCAGAAUCAAAACUGUGAGUAUGGGUAUAGAUUUAAAUCAAUAAGGUUGGCUGCAGAUUUGAGGAUUUCGGCUACUCGUUCAUCCUGCCAUGAUGGAGCACCUAUGCCUUGGAAGACGGAGGAUCAGACUACUCCAACAACACCACCAUCAUCACCAAAGGAAGACAACUAAGCAUUGGUAUGGGCAAUCCCCUUGGCUUCUGCCGAGCUUGGGGGAGUUGCCCUGGUAUCAUAUCACCUUUAUAUCUUUUGCUUUUACCUUUGUUUUAGUUCUUUCCCUUUCAGUUUUUAUUUCUUCUUUUAGAGGAAUAAGUCUUUAGUUUUUAGUUUGAGUCUUUUGCUUUUGGUCUCUCCCCCGAUGUAUUCGAGCUUACGAGCUAUAUAAUAAAGAGUGUCUUAGUCAAAGGGCUUUGCUUUGUGCCAUGAUCAAAAGUAUGAAAAGAACGAUAGCAUGAAAGAUCAUGAGACGAUCUUAUGGAAAGUGAUAACUUCACUUAUGACACGUAUGAUGAUUGAAACUUGUCGAGAAUAAAUCAACACAUACCUCAGUCAUUGUUGCAAUUAAUAAGAAGUAAUAAGGAAAGAGAGGUUCACAUAUAAAUAUAUCAUCUUAGACACUUUCUACAAUUGUGAGCACUCACCAAACUAUUACAUGCCUAGGAGUAGAUGUUGGACAAGGAAGACAACAUAAUGAAUUGUGUUUGCUUGGUUCCAAACAAUGUUAUAUGAUUAGAGAUCCCUUAGCAUGUGACGAUUGCUUCCACCUCAUAUUAGCCAAAACUUCCGCACCAAGUAGAGAUACUACUUGUGCAUCCAUAAACCUUCAACCCAGUUUUGCCAUGAGAGUCCACCAUACCUACCUAUGGAUUGAAUAAGAUCCUUCAAGUAAGUUGUCAUCGGUGCAAGCAAUAAAAAUUGCUCUCUAAUAUGUAUGAUCUAUUAGUGUGUGGAAAAUAAGCUUUGUACGAACCUGUGAUGAGGAAGACAUAAAAGCGACAGACUGCAUAAUAAAGUUCUUUGUCACAGGAGGCAAUAUAAAGUGACGUUCCUCCGCACUAAGAGGACACGCAUUCAAACCUCAAAAGUGCAUGACAACCUCUGCUUCCCUCUGCGAAGGGCCUAUCUUGUACCUUUACUUUUACCCUUGUAAGAGUCAUGGUGAUCAUCACCAAUUCCCUUUUUGCCUUCGUCUUGGCUACCGUCACAUGCUUGGAAAAGAUCUAUAUUCAUAUAUCAACUUGGAGUUGAGUACUCAUGCUUUAUUGUUGUUGACUUUACCCUUGAGGUAAACCGUUGGGAGGAAAAACUAUAAGCCCCCAUCUUCCUCUGUGUCGAGCUGAAGCUUUGACACCAUGAGUACCACGUGAGCUAUAAAAAUUGUGGAAAACAAAAGAGAUGAUUGAGUAUGUGGGUUUGCCUUACAAGCUCUUAUUUGACUCUUUCUGAUGUUGUGAUAAAUUGCAAUUGCUUCAAUGAUUAUGGACUAUUGUUGGUUACUUCUCGGUAAGGUUUUUGCUUCAUGCUUUGCUUUGUGAAGGAAUUGUUACUUUCCCAUAAGAAUCUUUAUAUAUAUUGUUGUUCUAUGUGUGAUCAUGAUGCCCUCAUGUCUGUAUUAUGUUUUAUCGACACCUUCGUCCCUCAACAUGUGGACGUGUUUAUGGAACUUGGUUUUCGCUUGAGGACAAGCGAGGUCUAAGCUUGGGGGAGUUGAUACGUCCAUUUUGCAUCAUGUUUUCAUGUUGAUAUUUAUUGCUUCUUGGGAUGUUAUAUUACUUGUGGUGCCAUAUUUAUGCCUUUUCGCUCUUAUUUUGCAAGGAUUAUUUGAAGAGGGAGAAUUCAGGCAGCUGGAAUUCUGGACUAGAAAAGGAGCAAAUCCUAGUCCACUAUUCUGCACAUCUCCAAAUGCCCUGAAAAUUUACGUGGAUUUUUUCUGGAAUAUAUUAAAAAUACUGGGCGAAAGAACUACUGGAGGGGGGCCACCAGGGCCCCACAAGCUUGCCCACCACCACCACCCCCUGGUGGCGCACGGUAGGCUUGUGGGCAGCCCACUAGCCCACUAGCCCCCCUCUUUUGCUAUAUGAUGCGUCCUGACCUGGAAAAAAUCAUACAGGAGCUUUUUCGUGGUUUCGCCGCCACCACGGGGCGGAACUUGAGCAGAUCCAAUCUAGAGCUCUGGCAGGACAAUCCUGCCGGGGAAAUUUCCCUCCCGGAGGGGGGAAUCGUCGCCAUCUUCAUCACCAACACUCCUCUCGUCGGAGGGGAGGCAUCUUCAUCAACAUCUUCAUCAGCACCAUCUCUUCUCCAAUCCCUAGUUCAUCUCUUGUAACCAAUCUUCAUCUCGCAACUCAAAUUGGUACUUGUAAGGUUGCUAGUAGUGUUGAUUACUCUUUGUACUUGAUGCUUGUUGGAUUACUUGGUGGAAGAUUUUAUGUUCAGAUCCUUGAUGCUAUUCAUUACACCUCUGGUCAUGAUUAUGAUUAUGUCUUGUGAGUAGUUACUUUUGUUCCUGAGGACAUGGAAUAAGUCAUGCUGAUAAUAGUCAUGUGAAUUUGAUAUUCGUUCGGUAUUUUGAUAUGAUGUAUGUUGUUUUUCCUCUAGUGGUGUUAUGUGAAUGUCAACUACAUAACACUUCACCAUAUUUGGGUCUAGAGGAAGGCAUUGGAAAGUAGUAAGUAGAUGAUGGGUUGCUGGAGUGACAGAAGCUUGAACCCCAGUUUAUGCGCUACUUCGUGAGGGGUUGAUUUGGAUCCACUAGUUUAAUGCUAUGGUUAGACUUUGUCUUAAUUCUUCUUUUGUAGUUGCGGAUGCUUGCGAGAUAGGUUAAUCAUAAGUGGGAUGCUUGUCCAAGUAAGGGCAGUACCCAAGUGCCGGUCCACCCACAUAUCAAACUAUCAAAGUAACGAAUGCGAAUCAUAUGAACAUGAUGAAACUAGUAUGACAGAAAUUCCCGUGUGUCCUCGGGAGCGUUUUCCUCCUAUAAGACUUUGUUCAGGCUUGUCCCUUGCUACAAAAGGGAUUGGGCCACUUGCUGCACCGUUGCUACUACUUGUUACUUGUUACUCUUUGCUUGCUACGUUUCACCUCGCUACACAAUCACUUGUUACCGCUACUUUCAGUGCUUGCAGUUAUUACCUUGCUGAAAUCCGUUUAUCAGAGCCUUUUGCUCCUCGUUGGGUUCGACACUCUUACUUAUCGAAAUGACUACGAUUGAUCCCCUAUACUUGUGGGUCAUCAAGUUGCGUGAUCACAUGGUCAUAGGAACAGAAACAUUGACAUGCAGAAAAAUAGUAGCAAUAAACUGACACGAUCAUAUGCUACAUUUAUAGUUCGGUUCUUGUCCAUCACAUCAUUCUCCCAAUGAUGUGAUCCCGUCAUCAAGUGACAACACUUGCCUAUGGCCAGGAAACCUUGACCAUCUUUGAUCAACGAGCUAGUCAACUAGAGGCUCACUAGGGACAGUGGGUUGUCUAUGUAUCCACACAUGUAUUUGAGUUUCCAAUCAAUACAAUUCUAGCAUGGAUAAAUAAAUGAUUAUUACGAACAAGGAAAUAUAAUAAUAACCAAUUUAUUAUUGCCUCUAGGGCAUAUUUCCAACAAUUUCUAUGUAAAAGGUGCGGAUAGUACCUCAUUCUCGUCUAUCCCAAGCUGAGGUAUGUCACCGACCCUAUGCUCAUCCAUGCAUACAAAAUUAUCCACUGGAGCCCUGAAUAAUUUUUUAUAGUAUUCAAAGAUAUAUUGUUUGAGAUUCUCAUGUCCCACAAUUGUACCCUCAUCUUGUUCUAGCUGGAUAAUUUUUUUAUUCCUAUGCUUUCCAUUAGCUAUUAGAUGGAAAUGUUGUGUGUUGUCAUCUCCUUGUACCACUUGGAGGACUUUCGCUCUUAGUGCCCACUUCAACUCCUCCUCUCUGAGUAGUUGUUUGAGCUUUAGUUCAGCCUCCAUUUUUCAAUGACCUCUCAUUGUCACCUAAUAACGUUUGUUCGGCUUUUAUGUCUAGUGUGUUUAUAAGUUUAUAAGUUCGACAAGCCUUUGUUUCUUUUUCUUAUAAAUUACACUAUCGUGCUUUUCCCAACCCCUUAAGAAUUGCCUCAGGUGUCUUAUCUUAUUUUGCCACCUGUCAACAUUCGAGUCACCUUCUGUGAAAUAGCCCAUUCUCAAACCCGUCCCUUUCAAACCAUCCCAAUUCGAAAGAAAAAAGGUUUUUAUUUCCCACAUGUGUUGCUUCUCGCGAGUCUACAAACAGUGGGGUAUGAUCAGAGAUAGCUCUUGGUAACUCUCAAACUGUGACGAGAGGGAAUUUCUGCUCCCAUUCCACACUCAUGAGAACCCGGUCCAACUUCUCAAAAGUUGGGUUAGGUAAAGAGUUUGCCCAAGUAAACUUUCUCCCUGAUAGCUCAAUCUCCCACAAAUUAAGGCUCUCGAUGAUUGAAUUAAACAUAAAUGACCAUCUUCCAUCAAAGUUAUCACUGUUUUUCUCAUCCUGCCUCCAGAUUAUAUUAAAAUCGCCCCCUACUAAAAUCGGCAGUCUCUCGUCCCCGCAGAUUCGGACAAGGUCAGCCAAGAAAUCUCUCUUGAACUCAGGCUGGGCCGCCCCAUGCACAUCUACGAGUGCCCAUUGGAACCCGUCAUCUUUGGAGCGAACUCAAAAUUUGACUGCAAAGUCUCCAUACACCACUUUCGUAGUUGUGGUGUCUCGCACCGAACCCCAAGCAAGAUCCCACCUGAUCUUCCUCUUGGAGGUAGACAAUGCCAGUCAAAUUCAGAACCUCCAUACAACGUGUUUAAAAACGAAGCUAUAUAGUUAUCUCUCCCAGUUUCCAUCAAUGCAACGAAAUCCAAUUUGUGCUCAAUAGUUGUUUCAGCUAGGAAUCUUCUUUUAGCCAAGUCUGCUAGACCUCUGCUAUUCCAAAAUGUUCCUUUCAUCGCUCAUCAUGAAAUUUCUUAGCCGUUUUAAAUCUAGCACUACGACGCACAGCUGAAACAGGAUAGACUUUUCUCUUCCAGGUUCUUUUUGGCCUAUCCUGAACCUCCGACCGAUCCACAUAACCGUUGGACUCUUGUGCGUUAGCAUUCGUUUGUGGAGGAGCCUCAUACCCCUCCUGAACGAUAUCAUUUGUGUCUUCAAGCAAAAGGGGGGUGGCACAAGAUCCUCACAUAAACGCUCUAAGGCUCCCAAACCCAAUGCAUUUAUAUCAGAAUCAUUCAUAGGUUUUACGGCUGCAAUUUUUCUGACCAUCUCAAUUGCCCUCUCUGCCUCUAAGUCUAACAUGUCAUUUACCGAUCUAGAUAUCUCCUGGUCUACCAAACGCUAGAAUAAGGCCUAGUAACGGGCCCGACCCAUGCCAUUUUGGCCCAUGACUGCAACCAAACACACCCUUAAGUAACUUCUACAAUAUCCAUCCCCAACUUCCAGAAAUUCUAACACUUAAAAAAUCAAAAUCAAACUAUUGGCAUUUAAAACUUUCAUACAUUUCAUUUCUGAAAAAAAUGGUCUUUUAGAUUUCGAAAUAUCAGUAUUAUAUUUUUUACAAAAUUUAACUUUAAGAAUUUUCAAAAUUAUAAGGAUUCAAAAUUCAAAUGUUUUAGCACUUAAAAAAAUUCAAACUUUAAAAAAAUUGAACUUUCAAAUGUUUUGAAUUUUAAGAAGUGUGAACUUUCAUUUUUUUAUAAAGGAUGGGUUUUAUUUACUCAAAAUAAAGCAUCAAGAGCAUACAAAUACAAUAAGAACACACCCGGCCACUUUAUAACUAGGAUGCACACAACCAACUCAAACUCACACACACAAAAAUACGAUCGGUAAAUAGCAAAGUCAUAUAAGACCAAAGCUAUGUGCGCGGUUGGAAAAAGAAACCAAAGCGACCAUAUUGGCAAUGGACAAACUACAACAAUGACCAUAUCUGCACCAACAAUUUCAUUACACCACACGGACAACGAGGUUCCUCAACAAUGACACCUUCAGAAAGGGAGCGACGCUCAAAUGCCGCUAUCAUCGGAUCCAACCAUCCAAGGUCAGAUGCAAGAUUUUCACUCUGAGAAUCAGUCCAAGCAUGUCCGAGCAAUUCCUUCAAUAAGGUAAUGGCGUAAAAACAUCGCCAUUGCCAGGUACAGCCAACUCGAGUUGGACCUAGGCUUUCACCCGGGAGCUCAAGACCGGGUGCUCGAGAAGCACCACCAUCGAAGUCACUAUGUGUUGUUGCCACUACUUUUCCACAAUCUCAGUAGCUAUAUGCGAUGUGUGACCGCUGAUGCUGCACAACCAUCCCUCUACAUCAAGCCAUCAUCAAUAGUUUCAAUCUCACCGUUGAAGUCAACCAUCGGAUCUCCAAGAUCAAUCAUGAAGACCUUUUGAUGGAUACUACAUCAAUCCGCCGCGAGACCGCCACCGUAGUCAUGGUGGUCACCACACGUUCGUCGUCACGCCCCUAGCAGACCUAAAGGUCCACACCAAGGAACCACGGGUCCACACGCAUGGAGCCAUGGAUGUGUGUGUGGAUCAUGAAACGACCAAUCCAUGGCCAUGGCCAUUAGAUGAGACUAUCCCUGGCUGAUGGCAGGUGUCCAAGCCCUGCCGACAUGGCCACUACACCAUGGGCGCCAUCCCACAUGAAGGAGCCACCAGGCGGAGCAGCGACCACAAGUGAGGCGAGAUCUACACCAGCAAUGGCUGGAUCAUCCAGGUAACUGUCCGCUGGAUCUGUGGUGACAUCGUUGGAGGAAGCACGGGGUAGAGAGUGUGAAUCUGGGUUGGGGGAGAGGGGAAGGUCGGGGAAGAAGAUCCCUGUGGCGGUUGAGUCCCGCCGCCGCUGACAAACUGUCAUCGAUGAUGACGACGAGGAUGGAACAUCGGAGGCGGCCUCGAGUGCUAGGGUUUCUCGCCCCCGGUGUCGCCCUGGAGCAACACGGGAGGCCGAUGGCGAUUUCAUAGGAGAGAGAGAGAGAAGGUUGAGAAAUAGAAUCACAUGGUUGGGCAUGUGAGGAAAGAGAGAGAUGGAAAGAAGCACAUGGAUGAGGCCCCCUCGUCCUAUCUACCACAUGGUAACCUGACACAGUCACAUGCAAUGCUUGCGGCAAUGACCAUGGGCACAGUUCCCACAAGAGAGCAUUCUUAGAGUAAUAGCGAGUCUCAUCCUCAUGUUGGAUGCCUAUAUAAAGCUUCUCCUUUCCAACAUUCAUCAUACGAAUUGGCCAAAAUUUCUUUCUCAUUUGUGAUCUUUCAUCACAUUCAACUUUCCUUUGUAUAUAUUGUUGCUAAGCUUCAAAUUCUAAUCAGCUGGAGCUAAGCAAUGAAUUCUUCAUGCCAUCGAGCAUUCCUCGUGAGGAACAUCUUUUGUACUUUGGAAUGAGUGGUAUCGAGAAAUUAGUCAGGACGACUUUCUGAGGCUGAGGCGCCGCUUUUUUCUGUUCUCGUCUCUGAGACGUUGAGGUGGUAGACAUUUAUGAUAAGUGCAUUUCUUGUUGAGAAUAGCAUCGAUAAUCAUGUCUAGUCUAACAACUUGCUCAUUUAGGACUACCCUGGACAGUGCAACAAGUAAAAUACCAAAUCCUUGUACAAAAACAAGUUGUUGCCCUGUGGUGAGGAGUUGAAGCUAUGGCAUGAACUCGUCCAUGUGUGCGGUAUUUCUCCUUGUUGUUUCCAUCGUCUCUAGAAAUCGCUAAAAAGAUCAAAAACAAUAUCAAACCGUUGACACUAUGUGUCUACCAUCUCACACAAAUUCGAACCCAUAUCCAUCGCAGAUCUCCAAAAACAAACAAACAAGACGGAUCCAGUGUUGAACAGCAUAGCAACUAAUUCAAAUCAGCACAUGAACACAUCAUAUCAUCAGCACCAACACAAGAUUGUUUUUUUUUCUCUUUUCUUCAAACAAUAUCCUGAUUAAGGUUUAAAUAUUCUUGUGGCGUUGUAAAUACAUGUUGUGUGUCAGAGACAUAAUUCUUUUUCAAAUAAAAAAACAUAACUUUUUUUACCACAAAUUUUUCUAGGCUUAUGUGUGUGUAUCUUCCUUGUUUCAGUUCCAAGUGACAAGAGGCAAACUUGUCACGGUUGACUGAAUAGAACAGUAGCAAUCGACCUGCCCGGAGCUUCUAUUUUUUGUAGGUGAUUUUCUCUGUUAAGAGUGACUUCUUCUUUUUUGAGAGUUUUGUUAAGAGUGACAUGAAAUCUGCAUAUGGCGAUCGAGCACGCAUGCCGGCGAUCCCACACGGCGCACCGCAGCCACAAGCCGAUCGCCCCCACAAAAUCUGCCCGACGGCUCCCACCGGGAUGGGAUUCCCCGGUGCCAAUGGCGCGCGCCCACCUCACCCCCUCUUAUCCCCGCCUCACCCACUCGCGCCACGCCCCUUAUCCCCUCCUCUUACAAACCCACACAAACUAAUCAUCGCCCACCACCCUCCAACGAUCACCAACCAAAACCCCUCCACACGCCCGCCCGCGCGCGCCACGGACGCAGCAAUGGCCGCCCUCGCCGCCUCCAUCGCCACCUCCACGGCGUUCGCCGCGAAGCCGCGCCUGUCCCGCCCGCCGGCGCGCCUCUCCGUCUCCUGCUCCGCGUCCAGCGGCGACAACAACAACAGCACCGCCACCCCCUCGCUCUCCGCCUCCAUCAAGACCUUCUCGGCCGCGCUGGCGCUCUCCUCCGUGCUCCUCUCCUCCGCCGCCACCUCCCCGCCCCCCGCGGCUGCCGACAUCGCCGGCCUGACCCCGUGCAAGGAGUCCAAGGCCUUCGCCAAGCGGGAGAAGCAGUCGGUCAAGAAGCUCAACUCGUCGCUCAAGAAGUACGCGCCCGACUCCGCCCCGGCGCUCGCCAUCCAGGCCACCAUCGACAAGACCAAGCGCCGGUUCGAGAACUACGGCAAGUUCGGCCUGCUCUGCGGCUCCGACGGCCUGCCCCACCUCAUCGUCAGCGGCGACCAGCGGCACUGGGGCGAGUUCAUCACCCCCGGCGUGCUCUUCCUCUACAUCGCCGGCUGGAUCGGCUGGGUCGGACGCAGCUACCUCAUCGCCGUCAGCGGCGAGAAGAAGCCCGCCAUGAGGGAGAUCAUCAUCGACGUCGAGCUCGCCGCCAGGAUCAUCCCCAGGGGCUUCAUCUGGCCCGUCGCCGCAUACCGCGAG